rnacentral:misc_RNA from 1 species
AACGCACAUUGCGCCCGCCAGCAUUCUGGCGGGCAUGCCUGUCCGAGCGUCAUUUCAACCCUCAAGCCCCCGCGCUUGGUGUUGGGGGACGGCGCGAGGCCCGGGGCUUCCGGCCCCGGCGCUCGCCGCCCCUGAAAUGGAUUGGCGGCCGCGGCGCUGCCUCCCCUGCGUAGUAGCACACUCGCACCGGGAGCGCGACGCGGCCACGCCGUAAAACGCCCAACUUCUUUAGAGUUGACCUCGGAUCAGGUAGGAAUACCCGCUGAACUUAA